CCUACGGGUGGCAGCAGUGAGGAAUAUUGGUCAAUGGGCGCGAGCCUGAACCAGCCAAGUCGCGUGAGGGAAGACGGUCCUAUGGAUUGUAAACCUCUUUUGUCGGGGAGCAAAAGACGCCACGCGUGGCGUUCCGAGAGUACCCGAAGAAAAAGCAUCGGCUAACUCCGUCCCAGCAGCCGCGUUAAUACGGAGGAUGCGAGCGUUAUCCGGUUUUAUUGGGUUAAAGGGGUGCGCAGGCGGAAGAUCAAGUCAGCGGUAAAAUUGCGGGGUCAAACCUCUUCGUGCCGUUGAAACUGGUUUUCUUGAGUGAGUGAGAGGUAUGCGGAAUGCGUGGUGUAGCGGUGAAAUGCAUAGAUAUCACGCAGAACUCCGAUUGCGAAGGCAGCAUACCGGCGCUCAACUGACGCUCAUGCACGAAAGUGUGGGUAUCGAACAGGAUUAGAUACCCCUGUAGUC
rnacentral:rRNA from 1 species